GCCGCGUUAGCUCAGAUGGCAGAGCGUCGCUCUUGUAAAGCGAAUGUCGAGAGUUCGAUUCUCUCACGCGGCUC
rnacentral:tRNA from 1 species